rnacentral:rRNA from 1 species
AUUGAACGCUGGCGGCAUGCCUUACACAUGCAAGUCGAACGGUAACAGGUCUUCGGAUGCUGACGAGUGGCGAACGGGUGAGUAAUACAUCGGAACGUGCCCGAGAGUGGGGGAUAACGAGGCGAAAGCUUUGCUAAUACCGCAUACGAUCUCAGGAUGAAAGCAGGGGACCGCAAGGCCUUGCGCUCACGGAGCGGCCGAUGGCAGAUUAGGGAGUUGGUGGGAUAAAAGCUUACCAAGCCGACGAUCUGUAGCUGGUCUGAGAGGACGACCAGCCACACUGGGACUGAGACACGGCCCAGACUCCUACGGGAGGCAGCAGUGGGGAAUUUUGGACAAUGGGCGCAAGCCUGAUCCAGCCAUGCCGCGUGCAGGAUGAAGGCCUUCGGGUUGUAAACUGCUUUUGUACAGAACGAAAAGACUCUGGUUAAUACCUGGGGUCCAUGACGGUACCGUAAGAAUAAGCACCGGCUAACUACGUGCCAGCCGCCGCCGUAAGAC